CAAAGUUGCUAAAGUCCAUUAUCACAUGAGUCUGUACCAUAGUUCACAGACAUACACAUGUCACAGCCAAAAUCAUGUCUACUCAAGGAGAAGUUGUCACUGGGAAUAUAACAUGAUUAGCCUAUACAGCUAGUGUUACAUUUGACAUCGAAUGAGAAUAAAAAAUAAACAAUGAAUGCAUUUUUAAGAGAAAUCCUCUACACUGAAAGAGAGGAUCUGAAGGGGUUAGCAAACUGUGGCCCAUUGGCCAAAUUUAGUUCCACACCUGUUUUAGUGUGGCCUUUAAGCUGAGAAUGGUUUUUAUGUUUUCAAUUGUUUGAAAAAAAUCAAGGGAAGCAUACUAUAUCAUGACACACAAAACUGAAAUGAAAUUGAAAUUUCAGUGCCACUACAUACACUUUUGCUGGAACACAGCCAUGCCUGUUCAUUUAGGGAUCGUCUACAGCUGCUUUAGAGCUAGAAUGCCAGAGAUGAGUAAUAGCGGCAGAGACCGUAGGGCCUGCAAAGCCAAAUAUAUUUAAUAUGUGGCCCUGUAAGGAGAAUUUUGCUGACCUCUGCUCUGGAGGAUGGAAAGUACUUCCAGAUGAAGCUGGACUAUCCUAGGGACUCGGGGUCCAGGCUAGGACUUCUUGAUAAAGCCACCCUACAGAGAGAGGUUCAUCAAAGAGAGAAUAUAGUCCUGCACCCCAGACGAGCCUGCUCCACUGAACAGCAAGGACAGGAGGCAAACUGCCAGGAGAAGCCAGAGAGAAUGAGGGGCUGAGAGCACCUGGGACCAUAGCUUCUAUGAGUGACAACACCUUUCAUUUGCUCUAACCCUCACCCACAUUAUCCACUUCUGUAGAUACUCCUGAUAAGUCAAUGUUCCAGGUAUAUCCAAGUCACAAGAGUGGAAGGAUGGAAGCAUUACUGAGUUAGACCUAGUAUGUGCUGGAUGUUUAAAUGUUAAUCUUCCUCACGACUUUCCUAUCAGGUAGGCAUUAUCAUCUCCAUCUUUCAAGUGAUAUUAGCUUGCUUUUUUUUUUUUUUUUUUUGAGACGGAGUCUUGCUCUGUCACCCAGGCUGGAGCACAAUGGCAUAAUCUCGGCUCACUGCAACCUCCACCUCCCAGGUUCAAGCCAUUCUCCUGUCUCAGCCUCCCGAGUAGCUUGGACUACAGGAGCACGCACGCCACCAUGCCCAGCUAAUUUUUUUAUUUUUAUUAGAGAUGGGAUUUCACCAUGUUGGCUGGGAUUACAGGCGUGAGCCACUAUGCCCCACCAGCUUGCAUUUUUUUUUUCUGAGUGAUUACCAUAGUCCCUGGCAUUAUUCUGUGAGCUUUACAUAAAUGGAGUCAUUUAAUCCUCGCAACGAUUCUACAGAGGUCAU
rnacentral:lncRNA from 1 species